rnacentral:misc_RNA from 1 species
GAUGAAGAACGUAGCGAAAUGCGAUAAGUAAUGUGAAUUGCAGAAUUCAGUGAAUCAUCGAAUCUUUGAACGCACAUUGCGCCCGCCAGUAUUUUGGCGGGCAUGCCUGUUCGAGCGUCAUUACAACCCUCAGGCCCCCGGGCCUGGCGUUGGGGAUCGGCGGAGCCCCCCGUGGGCACACGCCGUCCCCCAAAUACAGUGGCGGUCCCGCCGCAGCUUCCAUCGCGUAGUAGCUAACACCUCGCGACUGGAGAGCGGCGCGGCCACGCCGUAAAACACCCAACUCUUCUGAAGUUGACCUCGAAUCAGGUAGGAAUACCCGCUGAACUUAAGCAUAUCAAUAAGCGGAGGA